rnacentral:misc_RNA from 1 species
GAUGAAGAACGUAGCGAAAUGCGAUAAGUAAUGUGAAUUGCAGAAUUCAGUGAAUCAUCGAAUCUUUGAACGCACAUUGCGCCCGCCAGUAUUCUGGCGGGCAUGCCUGUUCGAGCGUCAUUUCAACCCUCAAGCCCAGCUUGGUGUUGGGGAUCGGCACAGGCGCCCUCGGGCGCCCGCCGUCCCCUAAAUCUAGUGGCGGUCCCGCUGCAGCCUCCUCUGCGUAGUAGUUUUCUCCUCGCAAGGGCAGCUCGGUGGCGACCUCGCCGUAAAACCCCCAACUUCUGAAAGGUUGACCUCGAAUCAGGUAGGAAUACCCGCUGAACUUAAGCAUAUCAAUAAGCUGAGGA